rnacentral:rRNA from 1 species
UACGAAGGGGGCUAGCGUUGCUCGGAAUCACUGGGCGUAAAGCGCACGUAGGCGGACUCUUAAGUCAGGGGUGAAAUCCUGGAGCUCAACUCCAGAACUGCCUUUGAUACUGGGAGUCUUGAGUUCGGGAGAGGUGAGUGGAACUGCGAGUGUAGAGGUGAAAUUCGUAGAUAUUCGCAAGAACACCAGUGGCGAAGGCGGGUAGCUGGGCCAACACUGACGCUGAGACGCGAAAGCUAGGGGAGCAAACGGG